rnacentral:rRNA from 1 species
AUGAAACAAGACGCCCCCACACGCGAACAGAUCCCCACCUGUGGCCGCAAAUCGGCGGCGAGCGGCGCGUCAGUGCAGCUCCGCGUGCGGCACUGCAUCACCGGCGGCGAGCGGCACUCCAUUGCAACUCCGUCAGGCGGCGAGCGGGGCUUCAGUGCAGCUCCGCGUGCCGCACUCAAUCACCGGCGGCGAGCGGCACUCCAUUGCAACUCCGUCGGCGGCGAGCGGCGCUUCAGUGCAGCUCGCGGAGCUGCACUGCAUCACCGGCGGCGAGCGGCAGUCCAUUGCAACUCCGUCGGCGGCAAGCGGCGCUUCAGUGCAGCUCCGCGAGCUGCACUGCAUCGCCGGCGCCGAGCGGCGUUCGACUGCACUCCGGCCUUCGUCUUGCACUGCAAUACCGGCAGCGAGCAGCCCAUGCGUGCUGCAUUGCAGCACCGUCGUCGACGAGAGUCGCGUUUCAACGACGGCAGCACCGUCGAGUCGUUGGGCCGCAAACACCUGCAGCAUCCGAGUCAACGACGAGGGCCGCGUUACCGCGUCACGACGCCGUGGUAUGGAUCUUGA